rnacentral:rRNA from 1 species
AUUGAACGCUGGCGGCAUGCUUUACACAUGCAAGUCGAACGGCAGCGCGGGCUUCGUCCUGGCGGCGAGUGGCGAACGGGUGAGUAAUACAUCGGAACGUGCCCAGUAGUGGGGGAUAGCUCGGCGAAAGCCGGAUUAAUACCGCAUACGACCUGAGGGUGAAAGCGGGGGAUCUUCGGACCUCGCGCUAUUGGAGCGGCCGAUGGCAGAUUAGCUAGUUGGUGGGGUAAAGGCCUACCAAGGCGACGAUCUGUAGCUGGUCUGAGAGGACGACCAGCCACACUGGGACUGAGACACGGCCCAGACUCCUACGGGAGGCAGCAGUGGGGAAUUUUGGACAAUGGGCGAAAGCCUGAUCCAGCAAUGCCGCGUGUGUGAUGAAGGCCUUCGGGUUGUAAAGCACUUUUGGCGGGAACGAAAAGGACUGUGCCAAUACCACGGUUCGAUGACGGUACCCGCAGAAUAAGCACCGGCUAACUACGUG